rnacentral:misc_RNA from 1 species
AAGUCGUAACAAGGUCUCCGUUGGUGAACCAGCGGAGGGAUCAUUAAAGAGUUGCGAAACUCCUAAACCAUUGUGAACUUAUCCCUCAGCGUUGCUUCGGCGGGCGUCCCCCCGGGACGUAGCCCAAGACCCCCGAAAGGGGUGGCGGGCGCCCGCCGGAGGUACCAAACCCUUCUGUAUUAUAGUGGCACUUCUGAGUAGACAAGCAAAUAAGUCAAAACUUUCAACAACGGAUCUCUUGGUUCUG